rnacentral:misc_RNA from 1 species
ACGUAUCCACGUAUAAACCAUUGUGAACUGUCUCUUGUUGUAUUAACAAUUGAAACCCCUUUUAUAACUUUGAACUAACGUUUUCAUACUCCAAUAAAACGGAGAUGAAAUUCAUUACGAAACAAAAGAACAACUCUUAGCAACGGAUAUCUUGGUUCU